rnacentral:rRNA from 1 species
CAGCGCCACGAGUGGGGACCAUUGUUAUUUGGCCUAAAGCGUCCGUAGCUGGUUUUGAAAAUCUUUUGUGAAAUCGGACAGCUCAACUGUUCGGCGUGCAGAAGACACUACAAGACUUGAGACCGGGAGGGGUAUGGAGUAUUCUGGGGGAAGCGGUAAAAUGCGAUAAUCCUCGGAGGACUACCUGUGGCGAAGGCGCCAUACCAGAACGGAUCUGACAGUGAGGGACGAAGGCUAGGGGAGCGAACCGGAUUAGAUACCCGAGUAGUCC